rnacentral:rRNA from 1 species
UACGGAGGGGGCAAGCGUUAUUCGGAAUUAUUGGGCGUAAAGGGCGCGUAGGCGGCUUUGCAAGUGACGGGUGAAAUCCCUCGGCUUAACCGAGGAACUGCCUGUCAAACUGCAUGGCUUGAGACCGGGAGAGGUGAGUGGAAUUCCCAGUGUAGCGGUGAAAUGCGUAGAUAUUGGGAGGAACACCAGUGGCGAAGGCGGCUCACUGGACCGGUACUGACGCUGAUGCGCGAAAGCGUGGGGAGCAAACAGG